rnacentral:rRNA from 1 species
GUCCACGCUGUAAACGAUGGGCACUAGAUGCCGGGCCUAUAGACGGGUUCGGUGUCGCAGCUAACGCAUUAAGUGCCCCGCCUGGGGAGUACGGCCGCAAGGCUGAAACUCAAAGGAAUUGACGGGGGCCCCGCACAAGCGGUGGAGCAUGUGGUUUAAUUCGAAGCAACGCGAAGAACCUUACCUAGGCUUGACAUACUGGUGAAACCCCGUGGAAACACGGGGCCUCCUUCGGGACACCAGUACAGGUGCUGCAUGGCUGUCGU